UACGAAGGGGGCUAGCGUUGUUCGGAAUUACUGGGCGUAAAGGGCGCGUAGGCGGUCCUGAUCGUCGGAUGUGAAAGGCCUGGGCUCAACCUGGGAAUGGCAUCCGAUACGGCGGGACUGGAGUGUGGGAGAGGUUGGUGGAAUUCCCAGUGUAGAGGUGAAAUUCGUAGAUAUUGGGGAGAACACCGGUGGCGAAGGCGGCCAACUGGACCACAACUGACGCUGAGGCGCGAAAGCGUGGGGAGCAAACAGG
rnacentral:rRNA from 1 species